AAGGCUGUACUUUGAGGGAUCAUUUCUAUAGUUGGUUACUAGAGAAGUUUCUCUGAUUGUGUAGAGUACAUAUU
rnacentral:snoRNA from 1 species